rnacentral:lncRNA from 1 species
CAGGCACACACAGGCAUACAGCAGCCACACACGCACACACACACAGACGCCACAAUAUAUAUAUAUUUUUUUUCUGAAGUAUGAGGAUCUGUAGCUUUAAGGGAACAAAUGGGAGGUGGUCAGAGUGUCAGAAUGUCUUGUCUCUGUUCUUUAUGUGUUUUUUCUGACUGACCAGGAGUGAAAGAGGACAGGACAGGUCAUGGAGGUUUUACAAGGACUCUUUGUUCUACUCAUAGCUGUUCUAACAUCUCCACAAGAUUCCGUCUUCUGUGUACCUCAAAUCGCUCCAGAAAAUCCGAUAACCAGGCUCAGCAGCCCACUGACCCUCAACUGUUCAUCAUCCUGUCCCCAUGGCAAGGUUACAUGGAAACUUAUGCAGGAUUCUCUCUUUGCAAGUGUAAAUCCUCAUGGGCACUACAGCACCAUGGAGUUCCAAAGCAUUACAAUGGAACACACAUCUUUUAUCUGUGAAGAAAGGUGUGACAAAAAACGUUCAAGAGGCACGGUCAAGCUUUAUCAUUUUUUAGGCCCAACCAUCACCACUGACCCAAAGGAUCCAGAGACAGGUCAACCAUUCCAGGUGAAGUGUGAGGUGAAAAUUCAUCCAGACCUUUCAGCAGAGCUGGAGUUAACGCAUGGAGAGAGGGUCCUGUCCACCGAGACGAAGUGUGCAGAAAAUUUCUCCAGCAUUCUCCAAACCUGUGAGGUUUCUUCUAAAGAGAACAUUUUGGUGUCUGAAGCCCAGUACAAGUGUGAGGCUACUCUGCGAAAAGAUUCCUCACAACGCAUUGAAUCAGCGAAUUUAUCAUUGAAACUCAGAGAAGCUGCUUUGACCACACACCUUCCUACAGAGCCCACACCCCUUGCUAAAGAGACCGUAGCCUUUCCUAAAGAGACCACACCCCUUCCUAAAGAGACCACACCCCUUCCUACAGCAUCAACAACAAUGUCCACAGCAUCAGUGGUCACCAAGGAAGUAACCAUCCAAACAGACCUGCUGAACACUCAAUCUAACACUGCUUUGAACAGUUCUGCCGCUGUGAGAACAUCAUCAUCAGCAUCGUCAUCCGAUAAACAGGCAACUCUGAAUGAAAGCUCCUCCAGCACCAUCUGGGUGGCAGUGAUCAUAUGUGUGGUCAUUCUGGUUUUGGUCAUCUGCUUUGUCUUGUUCUUCUGUUUUAAGAAACGUAAAGAAGCACAGCCUCAGCAGAAAGAAACUCUCCAAUUCUGUAAUCUGUGAUGUACAGUGUUCUGUUCAGCCAGCGGUUUAAACUUGAUGAUUUAAACAAUUUAAACUAGAUGAAUACUGACUAAUGUCCCAGCUGGACUGAUAGUGUGGAAGCAGUCAUUUAAAUAAAUCAAAUAUAUUUACCA